rnacentral:misc_RNA from 1 species
UUUAAAGGUGAAAGUGUAUAUGGGAGAUGGAUGGCAUUUGGAUUUCAAACCAACACAUUUCGAUUUGUAUUCCCCACCGGAUUUCUACACCAAGGUAGGCAUAGCAGGAGUGCCAGAUGAUGUGAAAAUGGAGAAAACUAAAAUAAAAGAGGACAACUGGACACCUGUUUGGGGUGAAGAGUUUACAUUUCCAUUGACUGUUCCUGAAAUAGCCUUACUUCGAAUUGAAGUUCAUGAAUAUGAUAUGUCUGAGAAAGAUGAUUUUGCUGGCCAAAUUUGUUUCCCUGUUUCUGAACUUAGACCAGGGAUCCAUGCUGUACCCC